ensembl:lncRNA
AGGGAUAGAGAAACAGGCAGAGAAAUAGAUUGGUUGGUGCAUGGAUGGAUAGAUUCAUUCAUACAUCUAUACAUAUAUGGGGAAACAGAGAGACAUAGUUAGACAAAGAGACAGAGAAAGAUUGGUUCAAAGAAAGAGUGUUAAAACAUAGAGACAGACAGAUAGUUGAAUGCACAAAUAGAAGGACAGAUGGAUGGAGGAAUGGAUAGAAGCAUAUAUGCAUUUAUGCACAGAGAAACAUACAAAAACUUAGACAAAGAGUCAGAUAAGAAGAAUGAGAGGAAGGAAGGAAAGAGAAAGAAUUUGAAAAUUAGAAAGACACAGAGAGACAGACAGAGAGAUAGAGAGACAGAAAGAGAGAGAAAUAUUGCUUGAAAGAGAAAGAAUUUGAAAAUUAGAAAGACACAGAGAGACAGACAGAGAGAUAGAGAGACAGAAAGAGAGAGAAAUAUUGCUUGAAAGAGAUACAUAAAAAUAGAUAAAGGGCAGUAGAUACAUAGGUGCAUAGAUUAACAGAUGACUAUAUAGAUAAAUAUAUACAUAUGGAGAAAUAGAGACAGAACGAAAAACAGACAGGCAGACAGACAGAUAGCUGGAUGAAUGGAUUCAUCCAUAUGUAGAGAGAUAAAAAAAAGAGACAGUCAAUAAGAAAGAAAAAAGCUAGAGGUAGAAAAUGAUUGGUAGAACAAAGGAGAGAUAUAAAGAUGAUAGUAUAGAUGAAUGGAUAGAUGAUAGGAAGACAGAUACAAGGGGAUCAAGAAAAAUAUAUGGUUGGAUGGAUCAUUGGAUAGACAGCUAGGUAGAUCAACAGGUAGAUGAAUUGAGAGAUACAAGGAUGAAUGGAUAGAAUCAUACAUAGAUCAAGAGACAGAAAAUUAGAGAGACAGCAGGAGAGAGAAACACAGAGAGGGAGAGAGAGAGAGAUGUUGGUCGAAUGAAAGACAGAUAAAGAGCAGUAGAUACAUAGGUAAAUGGACUGAAAGAUAAAUGUAUAGAUAAAUAUAUACAUAUGGAGAAAAAGAGACAGAAAGACAUACAGAUAAAUACAUGGGUAGAUGGAUUCAUCUAUAUGUAGAGAGAUUAAAAAAGAGAGAGAGAAGAAAGAAAAAAGCAAGAGGUAGAGAAUGAUUGGUACAACAAAAGAGAUAAAAGCUGACAGUAUAGAUAAAUAGAUACAUGAUUGGAAGAAAGAUGCACAGGGAUAGAGAAAUAGAUGGAUGGUUAGAUACAAAUACAUAUAUAAACAGGUCGAUGAAUUGAUAGAUACAUGGAUGGAUGGAUAUAAUCAUCCACGCAUAAAUGGAGAAAUAGAAUAUUAGACAGAUAGAGGAAGAGAGAGAGAGAGAGAGAGCGAGAACUAUUGGUAGAAAGAGAGACAGAUGAAGAGCGGUAGAUACAUGGAUGAUGGAUGGACAUACAGAUGUAUAGAUAAGUUCAUCCGAAGAAAUAGAGAUAGAGAAAAAGAGAUACAUGCAUACAUACAUGCAUAUAUAUAUGGAUGGAUAAAUAGAUGAUCAUAUUAAGAGAUGGAUACAUACAAAAUUACACAAAGUGACAGACACACUAAACGUUUGAAAAAGUCUUAGAGAGAGAGAGACUGGUAGAAAGAUAGAAAAAUUAAGAUGGAUUAAUAGGCACACAGAGAGAUACAGAUAGAGACAGACAAAUAGAAAGAGACAGAGACAGAUGGAUGGCUGGAUGAAUACAUACAUACAUACAUACAUAGAGAAACAGUCAGAAGGUUAAGGAAACACAGUUAGAAUGAAAGAGAGAUAUAGUGGUAGGAAGAAAAAAUAGAUAUAAAGAUGGAUGGAGGGGAGGGAGGAAGGGAGGGAUGCCUGGAGGGAUGGAUAGAUGGAUGGAUAGAAAAAACAAUUGAUACAUAGAUGGAUGACUAGAUAGAUGUAUAGAUAGGCACAUCCAUCCAUACAUAUAUAGAGAAAUGAAUAGACAGAGAGUUAGAUGAAUAAAUAAUGCAUACAUAAAUAGAAGGUAUCUUGA